UGGGGAAUAUUGCACAAUGGGCGAAAGCCUGAUGCAGCAACGCCGCGUGAGUAAUGAAGGCCUUCGGGUUGUAAAGCUCUGUCUUUUGGGACGAUAAUGACGGUACCAAAGGAGGAAGCCCCGGCCAACUACGUGCCAGCAGCCGCGGUAACACGUAGGGGGCGAGCGUUGUUCGGAAUUACUGGGCGUAAAGGGCAUGUAGGCGGCUUGGAAAGCCUGGCGUGAAAGUCUGCAGCUUAACUGCAGGGGUGCGCUGGGAACUGCUGAGCUUGAGUGACGGAGAGGGAGCUGGAAUUCCUGGUGUAGGGGUGAAAUCUGUAGAUAUCAGGAAGAACACCGAUGGCGAAGGCAAGCUCCUGGCCGAUAACUGACGCUGAGGUGCGAAAGUGUGGGGAUCAAACA
rnacentral:rRNA from 1 species